rnacentral:rRNA from 1 species
CCCGUGUAAAAGCUCUUUCGACGAGUCGAGUUGUUUGGGAAUGCAGCUCAAAAUGGGUGGUAAAUUUCAUCUAAAGAUAAAUAUUGGCCAGAGACCGAUAGCGCACAAGUAGAGUGAUCGAAAGAUGAAAAGCANUUUGGAAAGAGAGUUAAACAGUACGUGAAAUUGUUGAAAGGGAAGCGCUUGCACCCAGACGUUGGGCGUCGUCGAUCAUCCGAGGUUCUCCUCGGUGCACUCGGCGAGGCACAGGCCAGCAUCGGUUUGGAUGGUUGGAGAAAGGCUCUAGGAACGUAGCUCUCUUCGGGGAGUGUUAUAGCCUAGGGCGUAAUGCAGCCCAUCCGGACCGAGGACCGCGCCUUUGGGCUAGGAUGCUGGCGUAAUGGUUGCAAGCGACCCGUCUUGAAACACGGACCAAGGAGUCUAACAUCUAUGCGAGUGUUUGGGCGUUAAACCCAUACGCGGAAUGAAAGUGAACGUAGGUGAGAACCCGUCUGGGUGCAUCAUCGACCGAUCCUGAUGUCUUCGGAUGGAUUUGAGUACGAGCAUAGCUGUUGGGACCCGAAAGAUGGUGAACUAUGCCUGAAUAGGGUGAAGCCAGAGGAAACUCUGGUGGAGGCUCGCAGCGGUUCUGACGUGCAAAUCGAUCGUCAAAUUUGGGUAUAGGGGCGAAAGACUAAUCGAACC